UUAACGUCCGUGUUUUCACAGUCUUUCUCGUUUUAAGUAUGUGGGAGCCCUAAAUCACAGAUUUAUAUCAUGUCUUGAACAAUGGCACUGUGUUAGAUGCCAUUAGUUGUCCUUUUAAUAGUCAAAGAAGGUAUCACAGGUAUAACUGCAAUAUCAUUCUAUUCAACGCUGUAAAGAACAUAGACUUCUAUAACUAUUUCCGUCUUUACCUUUUCACGUACGUAUUACUUUUAAUUAAAUUGUAGCUGGUACCUGUGAAUAGUUGUAACUAAGAUUUUCCUCGUUUUAAGUAUAUGGUCGCCCUGAAAAGGGUUAAUUAUAUUAUAGCGUACCAGUACUACCUGGAAAUGGCUGCAAUUAAGGUGACCUUCGUUUUAAGUAUAUGGGUGUCCAGAAAAGAGUUAAGCGCGUUUUAUGGUACAAAUGGUGUAUUUUUCAAUGCGGUUUAUAUGCCCCGAUACUUUUUUACGCAAUCACGGAGCCUAAAUUGGCGUGUAAAUAGACGCAUCAUAAAGGGUAAAGCGUACGAUCCUGAGUCCAUGAUUUUAGUCCAUGAUUAAAGGGAGCAACGAUGGACCCAAAACCAAUCGUCCACGCAGCCCAGACGACGCACGACGGCGGAAAAAGAGCCCUGCUGGAGCCAUCUGUUGCCGAGCCCGAAGAUCACAGCCCACAGCCACCACCGUCGAAUCUCCGUCAGCCCCAUCGAUCCCGAUUACCGACCGAUCGAUAAUAGAUCAAUCCUAGACCCGGAAGAUGUCCCAAUCUAAACCCAUCCCCUCCCCAAAACUCCAUACGACGGGCUGGUGCCGGUGCUACGACGACAACCCGACACUUUUGCGUUACGGCGUGUAAUAAGCGAUCAAAAAGCGAUUUCAAAGCUCUUUAGAAAAGCGAUUGUGCGAGUUUAUUUAGAAGACGAGUUAGGGAGCGUAUUGUGUGUGUGAGGCGAGUUCAGCGUGUUCCUUAUAUUAUCCCUUUUUGUAAUACUGAGCCAAGUAACGGUAAUUUCGCGUCCGCGAUCGUUCCGCUCGCGUCCGGUACCCUGCGUCUUCACGAUAACCCUUCUCCUCCCCCCUAAAGUUCCCUUCUGCGUUCCUUCCUCGACGCGUAACGUAAAGAACCUCCUGUGAAUCCUUCCCGACCGUGAGACCUCCCUUCCCAAAACGAUCCUCCUUGCGUACUCCCUCGCGGAGUCUGUGUGAUGGCCGACCCCGGUCGAGCCGCGAGUCCCUCCCCUUGUGAAGACCCUAGUUUCGUCCCUAUUCCUCCUUGCCACGAAACGUGGCUAGCGCCCAGCGAAACCAAAGAAAUUGUAGAGUGCACCCCCACGUAACGGGUCACAAUACAAGAAAUAUAAAAUAAAUGUUAAGUAAAUAUAAAUUAAAUAUACAUAGAAUGUACAGGGUGUAAAAAAACGAAAUGUCACGGAUCACGUGGGGUGAUUCUACACCUCUGGAUCGGUGGAGAUCUGUCAAAGAAAGCGACCGCAAAAUUGACCUUGACAAUUUUUUUUAUUGGCUUAUCGUAUAGUGCUCGUCGAGGGGAUAAAAAGUCUGAAAGGAACCAUGUGCCGAAAAUCAACCCAUCCCCUAGAAAAAAGCCCUCAAAGUUUUCCUAUACGUUAAUGCAUUAAACAUUGAGUCGCGCGGUACCCCUCUCCAGUGACCUUGGCGCAUCUGUUUCGCGUAUCGCUCGAAUUUGAUGUUAUAAAACAAUUCUUAAAUUUUAAUCACAAUGCCAGCAUAUUGGGAAGAUAAAUUCUAACAAUAAGAGAGCAUAUUUAAAAACACAAAAUAGCUACUACGUUCAAAAGAAAAUAAAAAUGAAUUUAAUUCACCAAAGUUUUGCACUUCGAAUAUAAAUGCAAGAUAAAUGUUUAAUUUUAUCAUUUUACAGUUCGUUAACACACCAGGUGCAGCGAGUAAUUCGAUUAUUCGUUCCUCGAUCAAUAAUCUUUGCAUCUAUAUUCUAAAUGCAAAACUUCUGCGAAUAAAAUUUAUUUAUAUUGUCUUUUGCAAAUUGUAACCAUAAUCAAUAUAACGAUAUAUUUCACGAGAUUCGAAUGUUUGAUGCACUUCUUUGCGUAAUAAUUAACUGGUGCAUUAACUGGGUAACUACGGUGUAUUAACGAACCAUGAAAUGAUAAAACUAAACAUUUAUCUUGCGUUUAAAUUCGAAGUGCAAAACUUUGGUGAAUUAAAUUCAUUUUUAUUUUGUUUCGAACGCAGUAGCUAUCGAUUUUUCCGUCCAACCUGCGGCUCUUCGAAUCGCCUCAAUAUCCACAUCUCUGCGAGAUGCCGCGAAUGUAGGGGCACGUCUCCGACUCAAGCGUGACGCAGCUCGCCGAUGGCACUCGCCACUCACUUCAUCAAACAAACUUGAUGAACGGUCCCUUUUGGAUGAGGUUAAAUGACUCUGAUUAGAAUGUGACGUUCGUCUGUAUAUACCUGCGAUACGCUCGCCAUUCUCUUUAUCAGAGUCAUCUGCACUAGAUCGUCUGUUAUGACUAGAGUCCGAGCUCCUUCGCCGAGAUCUCGUGCGCCGGUGUCGAGAACGCGACCGCCUGUAUUCUUCUUCCAGGUAUCGCAACUUCCUUAAAAAAGGGUCUUCUGACUCGCUUCAUCGCCUCCGUGAACUUCCCCGGGGUGUUACACUCAUUACCAAAAGCGUAAUGGCGUAGUGAGGGAACAGGUCUACCACCAUAGCGGGAAGCGGGAAAUUGUUGAAAUUGUUGAAUUUUAAAAACUGUGACGGAUCGAGCAACUGGCGUUACUAUCUAUUGAUCUAUUCGGACAAGACGUUGCAGCAUAAUUUUGUGUUUUUAAAUAUGCUCUCUUAGAAUUUACCUUUCCUAUAUGUGAUUGAAAUUUAAGAUACAUAUUUAGAAAAUAUAACCUAAAUAUUCAUGUAAUAUAAAAGAAAUAUUUAAAAGAUAUUCGGAAGAGUGGUGAUCUUCCUACUCUUCAUGCUUUUUGGAAUUUUUCUAUCAGUUCUUUCUCCACUCUUCUUCUUUCUUCUUCUGCUUCUUCUUCUUCUCUUUUUCUUUUAAAAGAGUCCAGCAGUGAUCCUUGGCUGCCCGACCUAUACUUCCCAGGCUGUUCAGCUAAAGUCGGCCUUCCUCUUUUUCCGGAAUCCUUUGGGCUCUCCGUCUCUCCUGUCUUACUCAUCUAUGUUUUUCUCUCUCUGUGUUCGCUUCUAUGCCUAUGCUUCGCUACCUUCGUUUUUUUUUUAUUUUAUUAGUUUAUCAUCCAAUCGAUCUACCGUUAUCGACGUAUUAUUCCACGUCGUUUAUUAGUCUACAAUAUCGACUUUUUCCACGUAGCUCAUUAGUCAAUCUAACAUUUUACCUCUUUCGCCAGUUUCAUUUCUUUUAAGUAACUUGUUUCUGUGUACCUUUUUGAUGCUUUUAUUCACCUGUGUUCUUUGGUUUUUUCUCUUUCCAGCGGUAUUUUUUGCACCCCUAUCCGUUAAGAAUUUCCUUCGGAAUUGAUUGAUUUUGUUUCACUUCUCUCCGACAUGUACUGUCUCUAUAGCUAUCGUCACGUGACCCCCAAAUAUUUGCUUAAUUUCAUAUUUAAUUUCAAUGUAUUGUCUAUUCAGCGCAGCCAAUUGUCCCUCACUCGAAGAUCCAAUAAUAUUCGUGCCUAUACAUUGCCAAAAUUAUUAUUAUUACUAUUUCUACAUUUAUUAUUCUAUUUAUAUAUGUAUUUAUUAUGUAUUAUUUAUUAUUAUGAAUUUUUUUGAUGUUUAUAAUAAAGUUUAUCUAUUUUAAUACUUACUUGGUACUUCUAUAUGCGGUUGUUGAAUUUGUCAGCUUUCACUAUCAGAAUCUGGGUUAGGCGACUGAAGUACAAGUUGCUUUUUUAUCAGACGCAUCUUUUUAGAUGACAUUCUAAAAAUUAUGUAGUACAAUCCGUUGACAAUAACUUUUUAAAUAUUUUAACGUUAAAGAAUGAAUUAAUCACAUAUUUACAAGUCAUAUUUAUCUAAUUACACAAAUGAAGUAGUUCGUAUGCUACAAAAUGUGAGUGGUACCUAACUACAAAUGCUUUAUACACAAUUUCACCUAGUGCAUAUGAAACAAUUUCGUUCAAAAAAUUAUUAGAUUUAAAUAUUCCUAUAUCUUUAGAUAUAAUGGGAUAUUUAUAAAAAGUUUUUAAUUCCGAUGAUAAUCUGCCAAAUAUUGUAUUUUCUAAUAUGUCUGUAAUUUGUAAAACAUGGCCGUUCUUUAAAAAGACAUAACAGUCACGAAGUCCAUGAGCUUUCAAUUUAAAAUGAGAAAAUUGUAUUGAUUUUUUAUUAUUUUGUGUUUUAACGAUUAUGUCGAUAAUAUUUUUUUUGAUUGUAGGUGUUUCAUUUUUUGAUAACCUAUUUAUAAUUUGGGCCAGAGGUUUAUUCCACCUACGUAACAGGCUUAAAAAUAUUCCUAAUUAAUUUUCAAAGGGAAAGCAACUUAAUUCUUCCAACGAAUAUUUUAAAUUUUCCACAUCAUCUGUAAUAUGUACUAAGUAAUGAAUAUUAAAUAUACAGAAUUCUCUACCAUACAGUGUGGAGCAUUUAUUAACAAAUAUAAACAGCAUUUGUCGAGCUGUAUUUAGCCAUUCUGCGUUCAAAUAUAAUUUACUAUGCAAUAAAAUUCUAAUUGCUGCAUGAAAUAACAAAAAGUGCUCAUAAUGUUACGUCGCGAGCGAGAUACGACGCGCGACGUACAAAAAUAUAUGAGAGAAUUGAUAGAAUAUAUUUAUUGGAAUCUUAGUACGCGGUAGAAAAAGCGCUGCCACCAAUCCUAAUCGCUUAUGACGAUCUUGAAUCACUUACGAUUAGAACAAUUAAAAAUCAGUAAAAUUUGGUUAUAGAUUUACUGCUGAGUUCGUCAAUGCCCUAGUCCCAUACGGGCCCCUUGUGUGAAUUUGUGCGUAGAUGGUAGGCGUGAUAAUACAGGAAAGGAAGGUGUUUGAACGCAAAUUAAUUGGAAACUGAAUAUAAGUAACAAAUGUAUAAUCUCGAGGAAAAUAAUUAUUACAAUGAAAGCGGUCUAGUUAACAAAAGGUCCGUGCUGUAUAAAAUACAUAGAAAAGAAAUUAGAAUAUAUAUACAUAAAGACAAAGGAAGAUGAAUAUAUUAAAGAGUAAAUGUAAGGCACCUUUAUAGCAGAAAACUGACAAAAAGGCAGUUUGAUUGAUAGUAUCUGAGAUUAUGAUUCGAACUACGGUGUUGUACUUUAUAAUAAUUAUUAAACGGUGGAAAGAGAGACGGUCCCAGGGAGAUACCUCCAAGACAACAGUCUCGUGGGCCGUCUCUGUCUUGUGCGUAGUUGGAAAUUUUAACGAUUUAAUUCUUUUUAAUACUUCGAACUCUGUGUUGAACGGGACGAUCUAGUGAGAAACUUCCACUCAGCAAUAGCUUUCCACCCCACCCGCGAGGUCCUAUUGUCGAUGCGUUUUUUUUAAAGUGGUUGCCAGUAUACGUUUACGAGUGAUACGCUUCUGAGCCUCAAACGGUUCGUAGGCUGCGCGCUGAACGUCGCAGCAAGGGAGAUAGCGGUAGGCGGAGCCAGCUGAAAAUCGGCUGAAAAGUGCAAAUCUUGCCGAACUCUGCUCUAGGUAUCAGAAAUUAUCAAAGACAGUAACUUGUACCGUUCCCUCGGACACGAACAAACCUCUCUACAGGCCGCAAAUCGGUUUCUGGGCAAGCCAGAUCUAUGUAUGUCCAGACAGGCCGCAUUUAAGGAGCUCAGUCCCUCGCUAGCUCAUUACACUUGAUAGCGAACUCUAUCCUGACAUGUAGUGAACACGUCGCGAACCACGAGUAGAGUGUCUGUAGAUCCGCAGGGAGCCUGCACUUGUCACUGUAAGGAAAGAAUUUAAUUUGCUUCGGCUACUCCCUUGCUAUAUCUUUACCGAAGUAAAUCAGCACAGAGCAAUCUCAGCUUUUUCUAGUUAGAACGAUAGCUGCACUCGACCGAAGUCGGAGACGAUCUGAUCUCGCUCCGGGUGGAACGUCUCUAUUUAUACCUAAAUUCUGCUGACAAAGCGCUUUUUUUUCUAUAUAGAUUUUUCCUUCAGGAAUCUCGUGGACUUUGGACUCUAGGUACGUGACUCCCGAGCAUCCCUAGUCCCUAGUCUAGCGCGAUCUCCCUACUCUACGAUUCCACCCUACCCCGAAAUCAUCCAUACUUCGCGAUUAUUCACGCGAGCGUAUACGUGGUUGUACGUCGAUUAAUUAUCGAUACUAAGUUACCGACCGACUCACCAACUAAACAAAAUUAUCGACUCAUCAAAAAUUAUCGACAUACAAUGAAUAGUAUAUUUAUUAUAAAGAAAAUUACAAUGUUUUAAAUACAAAAAUAAAAUUAACGAAAAUUAAUUAUUGUAAUAAAAAAACAGGUAAAUGCGCUUAGCAGGACGUUACACUUUGUUUUUUUACAUCUGUUUCUUAGCGUAACGCUGUUUUAAAUUUCGCCGAAACUAUCCUGACAAGGAUAUGCAGGAAGGUUGUGGAAAACGGAUGGUUUAAUAAAGAAUCGAGAUUAGUCACUCAAUAAUAACACAAAUCACUUUAUUAACUCCGCUUCCGCGGUGGAAGUUUCGAUGGGCGUGUAAAUUCCCCGCGUUGAUGGCGAAUUGAUGACACGUUGAAGGCGAAGCGAAUAUUGUCGUUAUGCGUUAAAGUAAGCGAUAGGCGCGUUGUUAGACGUAAGCGAGACACGUGUAUUGCGUUCGAUAUUUUGAACAAAAGUGAUCUAUCGAUCACCAACGGGCACCGCGAUCACGCGUGGCGCCAGGAUUGAGGGUUUUGUUACGUCAUUAACGGACGAGUUAAUUUGUCAAGCGGGAUCCUUAAAUUAAACGAAAGUAAUGAAUAAACUUAAACCUUAACCUAA